rnacentral:rRNA from 1 species
AAUGAACGUUGGCGGCAUGGAUUAGGCAUGCAAGUCGCACGAGAACCCAAUUAGCUUGCUAUGAGGGGGACAGUGGCGCAAGGGAGAGUAACGCGUGGUUAUGUACCUUCGAGACCGGGAUAGUGUCGGGAAACUGGCAGUAAUACCGGAUAACAUCUUCGGAUCAAAUGGUGUGAUUCCGCUCGAAGAUCGGACCGCGUACUAUUAGCUUGUUGGUGGGGUAAUGGCCCACCAAGGCUGCGAUGGUUACCGGGUGUGAGAGCAUGGCCCGGCUCACUGGGACUGAGACACUGCCCAGACACCUACGGGUGGCUGCAGUCGAGAAUCUUCGGCAAUGGGCGAAAGCCUGACCGAGCGAUGCCGCGUGCGGGAUGAAGGCCCUCGGGUUGUAAACCGCUGUCAGUUGUUAGGAAAUCUAUAGGGGUUCUCUCCUAUGGUUGACCGAUCUUCAGAGGAAGGACGGGCUAAGUUCG